UUUAUGAAAUUUCUUCGAUUUGUAUCGGUUUGUUUGUUGAGUAGUUAGACAUUAUUGUGUCUUUGGUUUUGUAUGUAUUUCUGAUUUGUAUCGGUUUUUAUGUUUUGACAUUCAGAUCUGUAGCGGCAUCAACGGGUUACCGACGAUUAGUGUGGUGGUGGUGGAAAUGGGUUUCCACACAGACAGCGGUAAGCGGGUUGCAUAUGAUUGGAGUGUCGUGUUCAUAUCUCAGGGUAAAUUUCUUUAUUUGCUGUUAAAUUUGAUAUGAGAAAGAGUUCUUUCUAUGGCUUAUUUUGCAUUCAACUUCUAUUCGUAGUAUUAGGAGGACUCAUGGCUGAAAGUGCAAAGAAAUUGCAGGUAUUUUCCUAAUAAAAAGAAUGGUUAAUCUAUCAUAUAAGGAGUAACAAACGCAGCUCGAUCAUUGAUAGGGCUACAGGAUCAACGAAUUUGACUGACACGAAACCAUAUCUUAUGAAGCUUAGCGAAGAUCAAAUGGGCCAACUUCUCUCUGCCUUUUGGAUUUAGGCCAACCGAAUGUUGAAGCUAUAGCUCAUUCAUUUAUAUUGACACUAAUUGUUUUGCGCAUGAAGAUAGAGUUAUAAGGUUUAAGGAUUGCUAUGGAUUGUAGGCUUGCAGCAGAGUUUGAUGGUUUAUUGUGAGGGUGAGUUGGUGAAGGAAGAGAGAUGGAGAUUGUUGUCAACCUUAGCAAAUCAGGUGUAUAAUUACUACGCAUAAAGUGAUUCUCAUGAAUUCACUGGAUGGUACUGUCGGUCGGUACAUGUCACAGUUAUGCAAUUGGCUCAGGAAAUAAAAGUCUGGUAAGGAUUCUUCCUUUUUUGCUGUAUAAUUGUAAAGUUUUUCGAUCGAGGUAAUUAUUGUAUAGAAUUGCUUACCGUGUUUCUGUUUUUGAAUAGAUGAUCUUCACUUUGAAUUUCGGGCACUGGAGUUGGCUCUGUAAUUGACAUGAAUAUCUUUAGAUACACAUGUAUUAACUGACCAAAACUGUACUAUUUUGGGGUAAUUGUAUGUUUUUAUAUUUCAGAAUUCUGGUUUCACUGCUUCAAGGUAUUGAAUCUAACUCCAUUGCUAUUCCACAUUCAACAACCAAUUAUAACAACAG